rnacentral:rRNA from 1 species
AACGAACGCUGGCGGCAUGCCUAACACAUGCAAGUCGAACGAGACCUUCGGGUCUAGUGGCGCACGGGUGCGUAACGCGUGGGAACCUGCCCUUAGGUUCGGAAUAACUCCCCGAAAGGGUUGCUAAUACCGGAUAAUGUCUUCGGACCAAAGAUUUAUCGCCUUGGGAUGGGCCCGCGUUGGAUUAGCUAGUUGGUAGGGUAAAAGCCUACCAAGGCGACGAUCCAUAGCUGGUCUGAGAGGAUGAUCAGCCACAUUGGGACUGAGACACGGCCGAGACCCCAGGGAGAGGCGGGGGAGGGAAAAUUGGGAGAAGGGGCCAAGCCCUGAACCGCAAAGCCCGGGUGGGAGAUAAAGGCCUUGGGGUUAUAAAGCUCUUUUACCCGGGAUGGUGAGGACGGUACCGGGAAAAGAAGCCGCGGCCAACCCGGU